UUCGAGAGGCUUGAAAUUGAAGCAGUAGCUGCCGCCUGCCGAGAGUUGCAGCUUGGCAUGCAGAGCCUUCAGCUCUCUUCAGAAGUGUGAGCUCUGAAUCUCUGAUGAUGGCGUUGGAACAACAAGAAGGUUUUCAGGUUAUAUACAUGAUCGAUGGGCAGUGCGACUGAUGAGGUAGGAGAUGGGAUUAACGCUGCCUGGCUCCCUGAAUGCCAUCCGAGAAGCGUGCCGCUGUGGCCGGCUGCUUCCUGGUUGGCAUUGAGGGAGUCAUGCAGGGUUUGCUCAUUUCCAUCUACGACGACGAUGUUUAUAGCAAGCACGGCUUCCUAGCUCAGAAUCAGAUCUGGCACUUUCUGCAUCAGCUUAGCAUGUCAUUGUUCAUGCACUCAAAAUCCAUCGUAGCGUUCAUGCAAACAUAAAUCGAACAGAUGGCAGAAGAUAGAAUUCAGGAAGUCUUAUUAUGAGUUUUGAAUGAUUCAUUGAGGGCGUUUCAUAUAUCCAUGGUUUUCGAGACUUAAGCGGUUAAAAGAGAACUAAUGAUAAAUUUGAAGUCAACACAGAAAAAAUGCCAUUUUACUUCACAUGUUAGAUUCUUCAAAGAGAGUAGAUGACCUCCUCAUGUAGUUAACCACUGCCUAACCAUCGGCGGCAGUAAAGCUAUGUCACAUUGAAGGCGACAUGUCGCUCAAACUUAGCAUAGAUGAGAGAUGACGUACCCUUGAACAUUCAUUUGACAAACGAUAAGAUUGAAAACAAGGAUACUAACUAAAGAAUAGAACUAUUUGAUAGGAACACUAAUGCUAUCCAAAAUGAUAGGAACAUUCAUUUCACAAAUGCUAUCCAAAAUGACCAGUACUAGUUUGAAUACCAUGAGUAUUCUAUAACACUGAUAAACUGUAUUUACAGCUAGUGCUCCCUCUUGCAAAAUCUUAAAUCAUAAGGAACAAAAAGUGUAAGUGUAUGCUAAAAAGUGCCAAUUGCGUAUAGAUUCUCAACUUCAGUAGAGCCUAAUUCUUGUGGAGAUUUCCCUCUGGCAAA